rnacentral:rRNA from 1 species
UACAGGGGGUGCAAACGUUGCUCGGAAUCAUUGGGCGUAAAGCGCACGUAGGCGGUUACUUAAGUCGGAUGUGAAAGCCCUUGGCUCAACCGAGGAAGUGCAUCCGAAACUGAGUAGCUAGAGUACGAAAGAGGGUCGCGGAAUUCCCGGUGUAGAGGUGAAAUUCGUAGAUAUCGGGAGGAACACCGGUGGCGAAGGCGGCGACCUGGGUCGAGACUGACGCUGAGGUGCGAAAGCGUGGGGAGCAAACAGG